AUAGUACGGAAUAACUGCGGGAAACUGUAGCUAAUACCGUAUAUUCCAGUAAUGGGAAAGAUUUAUCGCUAUGAGAUUGGCCCGCGCAAGAUUAGCUUGUUGGUGAGGUAAUGGCUCACCAAGGCUCCGAUCUUUAGCUGGUUUGAGAGGACGAUCAGCCACACUGGGACUGAGACACGGCCCAGACUCCUACGGGAGGCAGCAGUAGGGAAUAUUGGACAAUGGGGGAAACCCUGAUCCAGCAAUGCAGCGUGAGUGACGAAGGCCUUAGGGUUGUAAAACUCUUUCAUCGGUGAGGAUAAUGACAGUAGCCGAAGAAGAAGGACCGGCUAAUUCCGUGCCAGCAGCCGCGGUAAUACGGAAGGUCCUAGCGUUGUUCGGAAUUACUGGGCGUAAAGCGCAUGUAGGCGGAACAAAAAGUUAGAAGUGAAAUCCCUGGGCUCAACCUAGGAAUUGCUUUUAAAACUUUUGUUCUGGAAUUCAGGAGAGGAAAAUGGAAUUUCCAGUGUAGAGGUGAAAUUCGUAGAUAUUGGAAGGAACACCAGUGGCGAAGGCGAUUUUCUGGACUGAUAUUGACGCUGAGAUGCGAAGGCAUGGGUAGCAAACGGGAUUAGAUACCCCGGUAGUCCAUGCAGUAAACGAUGGGUGCUAGUCGUCGGACUUUUGUUCGGUGUCGUAGCUAACGCGUUAAGCACCCCGCCUGGGGAGUACGGUCGCAAGAUUAAAACUCAAAUAAAUUGACGGGGACCCGCACAAGCAGUGGAGCAUGUGGUUUAAUUCGACGCAACGCGAAGAACCUUACCAGCGUUUGACAUGGGAAGUGCCGGUUACAGAAUGGUAACCUUCAGUUCGGCUGGCUUCCGCACAGGUGCUGCAUGGCUGUCGUCAGCUCGUGU
rnacentral:rRNA from 1 species